ACCAGAACCAUUAAAUAACGAUUUAUUGAAAUAAUACAUAUACAAUAUGCUAAACAAAUAAAUAUAAUAAUAAUAAUAUCCAUUUUGGCCUUGGGAAAUACGUAACAAUAAAACUAUAAAGCUUCAAGCUCAGCACGUUUUACAAAUGAAUGUCCAUAAUAAUAUACGGAAAUCUCAAAUAAACAUGGUGAAGGUAAAACAAAUCGAUCGUAGUUUCGAUCAUAUUAAAGAAAUAAACAAAGAAAAAUAUAUUUUUUUCAAUU